rnacentral:tRNA from 1 species
GCACCCGUAGCUCAGCUGGAUAGAGCAUCGGAUUUCUACUCCGUGGGUCGGGGGUUCGAAUCCCUCCGGGUGCGCCA